UACGUAGGGGGCAAGCGUUGUCCGGAUUUAUUGGGCGUAAAGAGCGUGUAGGCGGUUUGGUAGGUCCGUUGUGAAAACUCGAGGCUCAACCUCGAGACGCCGAUGGAAACCAUCUGGCUAGAGUCCGGGAAGAGGAGUGUGGAAUUCCCGGUGUAGCGGUGAAAUGCGCAGAUAUCGGGAAGAACACCCGUGGCGAAGGCGGCACUCUCGGGACGGUACUGGACGCGAUGAG
rnacentral:rRNA from 1 species